GUCCCUUUUUAUUAAAUGUUUUACUAUUUCCGUUUUUUUUUGUCUUGUUUUAAGCGCAAUAUGUCUUGAAGAUCUUUUUAAGGUGUGUUUGUGUGUGUGUGUGUGAACUAUGUGUGUGGUAUCAACAAAUUCCGAACAAGAAUGGUACACUGACAAGUACGAUAAUGACCACAAAGAAUCAUUCUUUCUUUUUAUCUAUAUACAAUGUAUAUAGCUGUCUUUGUA
rnacentral:lncRNA from 1 species